GACGAACCGUACGAACGUUAUUCGGAAUCACUGGGCUUAAAGGGUGCGUAGGCUGCGCAGCAAGUUGGGUGUGAAAUCCCUCGCUUAACCGAGGAACUGCGCCCAAAACUGCUGUGCUCGAGGGAGAUAGAGGUGAGCGGAACUUAGGGUGGAGCGGUGAAAUGCGUUGAUAUCCUAAGGAACACCGGUGGCGAAAGCGGCUCACUGGAUCUCUUCUGACGCUGAGGCACGAAAGCUAGGGUAGCGAACGGGG
rnacentral:rRNA from 1 species